CAGCUCUGAACACAGCCUGAUUUGUGAGUACCUCUGAAACCACAACUGGAACAUGAGAGGAAGAUGGUGCUUGGUCCUAUUGAAAAAGAAUACUCCGUUAUGUAUGGAUCUAUUUCAAUGAUACCGAGAGGGAAAAUUUGUCACCUUUUUACUCUUACCUAAAUGCUUCCAUGGAUCAAAUCCUCCGUUAGUUUGAAGCAACGUCCAUCUUUGAUGUCAGCAGAACAGCCCACAGACCUUCAGGCAUUUGGAUGCUGUUGCCCUUUGAUUCACCGACACAGGGCAAGUGAUUUGCAAAAGUGCUUCUCUGGGGCCCAGUUGGUAUUCAUCACUGGAGCAGAUGUAAAGAGUCUCACGGGGCCAGAACUGAGCACUGGAUCCUGAGUAACAGAAAGGCUCUUGUGUUCUUUAUUAAACUUAUUUGGGAAAAGCAAAGUAAAAAGGAAUUUGUCAGCCCUAUGAAUCCGAGGUUAGAGUGAAGGGAGGACAGAGAGGCUGUGGAAGACCCAGCACCACACCAGACUCAUCUGCUCCCAGCUCUUCCCGUGGCUUCUCAGGGUUAGUUCUCUGAUUCUUCCCACCCAUUCUAUUCCUUAGUAAGUCCUGACCAGGAGAAGAUGCUUAUAUGGGUGCACAAAACCCAUUUCCCUUUCUCACCAGGGACACAGCUAAACUUCAUAUCCCAGCUUCUCUUGCAAUUAGAUGGUCCAUGUGACUGAGUUAUGGCCAAUGGAAACUAGAUGAAAGUGAGAUACACCACUUUCCCGCCUGCCCCAAAGCCUCGCACGGGAACCUCUAUGCUUUGUCUCCUUGUCUUGUCUGCCAGCCAGGUUCACAGGAGCCAGUGGAGGACUUCAAGUCCCUAGAAGAUGGUGGAACCACAUCAUGGAAAGAGCCUGCAUCCCCAAAUGACUACAUGGAGCAGAGCCCCUGCUCCAGCCUGUAGUUGACUGUGAAACCAACAAGAAAUAAACCUGUGGUACGUCAAGCCCUCAAGAUUGUUUGUUACAGUAGCCAGUUUACUUGCCCUGGCUAAUAUAUUGUCAAAAAUCAUUAAGGAGAAAAUAAGAGGCUUUCUCUAAUUAUGUAAAUUAGACCUUCAUCUGUUUCAGUUUGGCAUUUGGGAUCUUUUUGUCCCCCCAGUUCUGAAACCGCUCUUAGUUAUGAGGAUGAUUCUGGCUAAGGGCAGGGCGGGCGGAAGAUACAGGCACCAGGGUGCGAGGAAGCCCUCAGACCCAAAUCUCUAUAAGAGCCACGCUUCUGGUUCUUUGCCUUCUCUCGCCUGUCAUCUGAUGAAAAUAUUAGGAAGCAGAGCCACAGAGAAAGUUGAGAAGCAGGAGAGAAACUACAGCAAUGACACCUGGACUGGCUUUUCCUUGGAUUAACUAGGAAUUGACGGGGUAAGGGGAGCCACGUGGCUGCUGCAGAGACCAGCAGUUCUGCAACAUGUCCAGAACCCUGCCAUCUCCACACGCCAAGGACCCCUAAGAGCUGGCCAGCCCCAGGCUGAAGAUGGGUCAUGUCAAGGACAGGGCUUUACAGAAUUCCCACCAGAGAAUAAUAAGGUGUCAUUGAGAGAGGAACAUAGAUGGCGGCAGGACAGUCUCUGCUCUGGAGGAGGCAAGUCAGGACUCCCUGUGGCAUAAGGGCUGCUCCAGGAGGGGCUGAGAGAUCACAGUGACGAGCCAAGAGCUCAGGAAAGGGCAGCAGACACUGGACUCUUGUUUCAAAUGAUUCUCAAGCAAGGGAUGCAAACGCAAAUGCCUACCUGAGGCUGAGCCUGGGCGGAGCAGGUCUGAGUCUGGACUAGCCACGUUUCCAGUGCUCAGCGGCCACAUGCGGCUGGUGGCUCCUGCAUGAGACAGUGUGGGGCAGAGUCUGUCCCCGGGCUGCUUUGCGGGGCGCUGGGACUCGGGCUUCAAGUAACAACCGCAAGCAUCAUCUAACCGUCAAACGCUGUGCUCCUCAAAGUGCGCUUGGGAGCCGCCUGUGUCCCCUCGCUGAGGGAGCUCGUUGACAAGAAAGGUUUCCAGGCCCUCACCGUCGGGGACCGUGAUCCGGAAUCUCAGAGGCAAGGGCUGGAAACUCUGCAUCUCUAGUGCGCAGCACCCUGGAUACCGAAGCGCUGCCUUCGAGCCACAGAAUAGACAUUUUUGUUUCGUUUUGUUUUUAAUAACGUCUUUGUGGCCUGGAUAGUUUUAUCAACCCAGAAUAAACCAGAAGUUGAUUGUUGCUAUGGAAUCAAAACCACAGUUGCUGUCAGCCAGUAAUUAUUAAAAACGCGUCCACCUGUGCAACGGGAGGCCGCUCUCCCUCCUGGCAGGAUUUCCCCGCCUGAACUGAGAGCAGUGGCGCUCAUCUCUGCCCCUCGGCUCCUCCUGGGGGUAAACGCUUCAUCGGUGACAGUUUUGAGUCUCCCCUUUCUCUCUUGGCUUCAUCAUCGUGGUGUCCCAGCUCCAAACCCUGAGCCCCGUUUCCUCGGGACUGAAGACGCACAGGGCUGCCUCGUAGGUGCUGUGCUGAGAUGGCUGAUUAAGUUCCCCGCUGGAUGUGUUCGGCUCUGCACGAGGCGCCCAAAGGAAGCGGGAUGACCCUGGGAGCUCAUCGUGCCACGCACUGCUGAGAGAGAAUCCCCAGUUCGCUCUGCCCCAAGUCCCCGCUCGCCUUCCUGCCAGAAGCUCAGGCCGAGGCCAAACCUGCGCGGAGCGGGUCCUGCAGCCGCGGGACCCCGGGUCUCCCUGCCCACGUGUGUUCAGACGCCCCGCGAACUGCGGCGGGGCUGCGGUCCUCACGAUUUUAAAGCAGUCCAGCGUGGUGUCUUCAGCAAUUAAAAAAAAAAAGCCUAUUUCUCACUAACUCCCCAGGGAGACGAGGCAGGUGACUUUAAAUAUC
rnacentral:lncRNA from 1 species